UCAUCUAAGUAAAGAUUUAGUGACAAAAU
rnacentral:piRNA from 1 species